rnacentral:lncRNA from 1 species
GGGGUGAAGGAGAUGGCGGGGGUGGUGAGUUAUAAUAAUAAACUAGUGGUGGAGGGGAUGGUGAUGGUGGGGGCAGUGCCGGUGGCGGAGGUGAUGGCGAUGGUGGGGGUGGAGAAUUAUAGUCAUAAACUGGUGGCGGAGGUGAUGGUGAAGGCGGCGGUGGGGGAGGAGAGUUAUCGUAAUAAACAGGUGGCGAAGGUGACGGAGAAGGUGGUAGAGGUGGUUCUAUACAAGGAGGCGGUGGGGGUGGGGGUUCUAUACAAGGAACCGGGGAUGGAGGAA